rnacentral:rRNA from 1 species
CAGUCGCCACGGGAAAACGAAGGGGGCUAGCGUUACUCGGAAUUACUGGGCGUAAAGGGCGCGUAGGCGGCACGACUAGUCAGGCGUGAAAUUCCUGGGCUCAACCUGGGGACUGCGCUUGAUACGGUCGAGCUAGAGGAUGGAAGAGGGUCGUGGAAUUCCCAGUGUAGAGGUGAAAUUCGUAGAUAUUGGGAAGAACACCGGUGGCGAAGGCGGCGACCUGGUCCAUUACUGACGCUCAUGCACGAAAGCGUGGGGAGCAAACAGGAUUAGAUACCCCAGUAGUCCCUGUCUCUUAUAC